UAGGGAAUAUUGGUUAAUGUGCGAAAGCGCGAACCAGCAACGCCGCGUGUGCGAUGAAGGCCUUCGGGUCGUAAAGCACUUUUUGCAGGGAAGAGGAAGGACGGUACCUGCAGAAUAAGUCUCGGCUAACUACGUGCCAGCAGCCGCGGUAAAACGUAGGAGACGAGCGUUAUCCGGAUUUACUGGGCGCAAAGCGCGUGCAGGCGGCAUGGCAAGUUGGAUGUGAAAGCUCCCGGCUUAACUGGGAGAGGUCGUUCAAUACUGCCAGGCUUGAGAGUGGUAGAGGGAAGCGGAAUUCCGGGUGUAGUGGUGAAAUGCGUAGAUAUCCGGAGGAACACCAGUGGCGAAAGCGGCUUCCUGGCCCAUCUCUGACGCUCAGACGCGAAAGCUAGGGUAGCAAACG
rnacentral:rRNA from 1 species